rnacentral:rRNA from 1 species
CGAACGCUGGCGGCGUGCUUAAUACAUGCAAGUCGAACGAGAAAGCCCGAUUUCGGUUGGGCAAGUAAAGUGGCGAACGGGUGAGUAACACGUGGAUAAUCUACCCUUAAAUCUGGGAUAAUCCUUCGAAAGAGGGUCUAAUACCGGAUAACAUCGUUGGUUGGCAUCUUCCGACGAUCAAAGGCGGGGCAACCUGCCGUUUAGGGAUGAGUCCGCGUUCCAUUAGCUUGUUGGUGGGGUAAUGGCCUACCAAGGCGACGAUGGAUAGCCGGCUUGAGAGAGUGAUCGGCCACACUGGGACUGAGAUACGGCCCAGACUCCUACGGGAGGCAGCAGUAGGGAAUAUUGCGCAAUGGACGAAAGUCUGACGCAGCAACGCCGCGUGGGUGAUGAAGCAUCUUGGUGCGUAAAACCCUGUCAGUGGGGAAGAACCGUAUGGGGAGUAACUGCCCUGUGCCUGACGGUACCCACAAAGGAAGUCCCGGCUAACUCC